rnacentral:rRNA from 1 species
UACGAUGGAGGGCUAGCGUUGUCCGGAUUUAUUGGGCGUAAAGAGCGUGUAGGCGGCCAGGUAGGUCUGCUGUGAAAACUCGAGGCUCAACCUCGAGACGUCGGCGGAAACCAUCUGGCUAGAGUCCGGAAGAGGAGAGUGGAAUUCCUGGUGUAGCGGUGAAAUGCGCAGAUAUCAGGAAGAACACCCGUGGCGAAGGCGGCUCUCUGGGACGGUACUGACGCUGAGACGCGAAAGCGUGGGGAGCGAACAGG